rnacentral:lncRNA from 1 species
AAGCAGCUGACUUCAGGGCUAGGCUGGUCUCCAGCAUCAUAAGAGCAAAGGCAUGCUUUGUGGUUACAGAUUGGCACUGGAGCGGCCCUCCCUCCCUCUCUUUUGGGGACCUCGAGGGUCCAGGGGCGAGGGGAGCCGUGCCAGCAGCCUGCCUCAGUGUGUGUUCUCUGAGCACCUCGUGACCUUGCUGGGAGUGUGUCUGAUCAGCCGCUUCCCUUGUGACCAAAUAUUUGGUCAUGGCAGCAGGAGAGAAUUCCAUCAGUGGACAGCUCUAUUUUUAAGGCUCUGGCUUUGUUUUCUCUUUCCUGAGAGGCAGUCCCUGCAGCAGGCUUGAGCCUCUCUCACUGACAGCCUGCCUCGCAUAAUGUUAAGCAGGCAUCGGACACUUGCUGGAAGGCAGGGAAUUGCAAUGAAAGAGCACGGAGGUGAGAAGCUGUGCUCCUUGGGGUGAAGGCAGCUUCUGUGCUCCUGGGAUCUACUGUUAAGCCAGGGUGACGCCAGCUUGCAUGCUACCGGAGGGGAAGAGAAAAUUUGGACACACAGGGAGAAAACCACAGGGAGGAGAUGGCCAUCUACAAUUCCAGAAAAGCAGCCUCAGAAGAAACCAAUCUGCAAACAUCUUUAUCUGCAACUCCCUGCCUCCCAAAUGGGUGUCUGCUGUCAGAGAUGGGCAAGGAUGGGUGUCAGCCAUUGGAGAGCUGUUCCAGGGAGGGAGCCCGACCACUCUCUGGCCUUAGCCAGCCCAGUCAGCACUGGAGAAAGACCUCAUCCAACGCUGAAAUAGAUGGUGCUAGUGUAUGCAUUACAAUAGCAGGAGUAAAGAGACAGAAAGGGAAUGAAUUUCCAAGAAGACCAGCGUAGAACGGAAAAAUAUCAGAGGAGGGAGAAUUGUUAAGGAUUUCCAGUAUCUCAAGUGUGGAUGCUGUCCUGAGCUGACCCAAGGCUCUGGAAAGGACACAGAACACAUUUAUGAGUCUUUUCACCCUCAUUUCGUUGAAGAUUUUAUUGGCCGAAGAACCCUCAGUAGGCACGAAAUUCAUUCUCACAAGCAGAGAGAUGCAUUAUGCUCCAUUUAUUGCUCAUCCUAAAUUAUAAACAUUUCCAGUGAAUGUAAAGGAAGAUAUGAUUGAAAAGGACUCUGUGAAGACAGGAUGUUUCUGUACAGUCCUUGUAUCUGCUCACCUAUUCCAAACUUUCCAGAGAUUUUACCAGAGGUUUAAGAUAUUCUCCUGAGGGUUUGCUGUAGAGAGAUUUUUCUUAACUAAGGAGUGCAAGUAGCAAGCAAUAGCCCACCCAGUUGGAGACAAAAAAGAAGGGUGUCAGUGUUCCCACUGUUAAAAAACAAAAAAAAAUCACCCUGGACACCUCUGAGAAUUAUACAAGGGGAUGUACACAGCCCUGCUUUAUUUGAGUUCAAAAGGAAGGUGGGUUUUGAAAGAAGAACAAGGAGAGUAGAUCUCUCUGGAUCUUCUGAUGCUCACAGCAAAGAGCUCAAGGUAUCUGAGUCAACUCUUGAGGCUUCUUCGAACAGAGGGAUGAAGAGAGAAUAUGGCAAGCUUGCCAACAGAUCCCAGAAGUUUUAAGAGAAAAGAACAGAUUGCUCUUUGCAAAACAAACCGAGCUGGGUGCAUGGAGCCCCAGUAGACAGAAAGUGAAGAAAACAUCAACGUUCUGAAGUUUUAGAUAGGUGCACCAUCCCUUAUGGAUACCAAUCUGUGCUCCCCAUAAACUUCUGUGCCCAGGGUCAACUGGCCAGGGACAACUGGCUCACCAGGAGGCCUACAUAGCCUCUUCUUCAGGCCCUAAUUACAGCUCUAUGCAAUAGGGACUCUGCCAUCUGACAGCCAAGGAGGUGGUUCGGUUUCUGCACAUGGUUUUUUCCGCUGGGUCCCUUGAGGUCCAUGGUAACCUCUUCCUCAUUCUCUACAGGCAGAUCACACUUUGUAAUAAGAUCAGAGGCAGAGAACUUUGACCAGAUCACACUUUAUAAUAAGAUCAGAGGCAAAGAACUCUGACCAGAUCACACUUUAUAAUAAGAUCAGAGGCAGAGAACUUUGACAACUAUCUCCUUGCCCUCUGGCCCUGGGGUCAGGGCUACUCAAACAACACCUGCUGUCCCAAACCCGGAGAAGUGUAGAUUUUGGCACUGGUAGAGGAAUAACAGCUAUUGUUGACACUUAAUCUUGUGGGCCUGGAAUUUCAACUAUGUUUUCACAACUCGGAGCCUAUUGCUGCCACCUCUGUCAGGGAAGAUAAAUGGGCAUGAAUAAUAGACAGAUGAGUUUCCCAAAAGCCCAGACAGGCUGCAGGGAACACGUAAUGAGCAGACAGUGUGGUUCACGCCGGGGAGCCCAGGUUUAUCCAGGCCUCAUCCUCACUCCCUUUCUCUACUGAUAAUUGGACCCAACAGGACCAUUCCGAAUCAUUUUUCUCUCUUCAGUUAUUCUUCAGUUCUACUCAAAGGGUCAGUUUAGGGCAUAAUUAAAGUCAAUUACUUUCUGAAAGGCCAUCAGGACAACUGUUAGAGAAAAUGAUAGCAGCCCCGCACUUGCUGUAGGAAUUAUUAGCUUGUCAGCCUCCAGGCUUAUGGAGACAAAGGAUCAAAAAGUUAGAGAGAUCCAGGUGUUCACCUAUUUGUUCACUAAUUCUUUUAUUGUGAGUGUGCAUGUGUGUGGGUGGGUGUGACAUUUAUUAUGAACCAGAGGGCAGGAGCCAGUGACACAGUGGUGCAGAGAAUAAUCAUAUUCCCUGCCUUCCUGGGGUCAUACAGCUUGGUGGAGGACACAGAUGUGAAUUCGGUAAUCACUCCAAUAAAUAUUCUCCUACAGAUGAAGAAAGAUGAUACGAUGUGAUGGACAACAGAGACUUAUAUGGUGGGGUCUGGGCUGGUCUUUCUGAAGCUAAGACUGGCAGGAUGAGCAGGAGUUUGCCAGACAAAGAGGAGUGGAGUUGUUUUCCAAACACAUCUCAGCACAAAGUGUUGUCUUUGCUGGGAGCUGAAAAAAGAUAGUGUGGGCAGAGACCAUUAGGUGAGACGCUUGAUAUGAGAUACAACCUCAACAGGUGGAAGAAGAUCAUGAGAGAUGAAGAGAGGAAUAUAGUACAGCAGAGAGGACACAGAAGCUGACGUCAGGGUGUCUCAGUUUGAAACCAGUGGCCACCCUGUUCCUCUCCCAUGUGGUCCCAUCAUGGGCCUCUAGGGUCUGGGAUAAGAGGUUAAUGAAUAUCUCAUACCCUAAGCAGGGGUGGUCCCUGCACUUUAGCAAAAAGUUAAGGAACUAGGGAAAAGAGAUGGAAAUAAUAAAGAGAUGGGACAAAGACUUUGAAGACCAAAGCCCCUGGGCUAUUCUCUUUUUUAAAUUUUUUUAUUUAAAUUUUCAUUUAUUUUUAUCAAGAUAGGGUCUCACUAUGUUGCCCAGGUUGGUCUCAAACUUUUGGCCUAAAGCAAUCCUCCCACCUUGGCCUCCCAAUGUGCUGGGAUUACAAUGUGAGCCACCACGUCCAGCCUCCUGGGAUAUUUCUCAAUGAAACAUUGGAUGCCAAGAUUGGUUUUGUGCCACAUGCCAAUUUCACAGAAGCCAGUCUAUGAGCCACCAGCUCUACUCAGCAAUUACAGUUUCUGGAACUUUGGCUAAAUUCCUGUAGAUGCACCACUGCUUGUGGCCUGACUCUUUGCCACCCAAGUGCGCUCAGCCUCCCCUGGGGAGUCUGCCAGGCUUGCAUGGCUCCCACUGCACUUGCUGUGCUGGGACCGAAAACAGUUUUUGUGCCCCUAGCUUAACUCCACUGGAUUCAUAGAGGCUUUGGCCUCCUCAAUGGCUGUCCUGGGACAGGGAGGCUGGUUAGCACAAUUAACACAACCUGGUCAUGCAAGGCAUUGAUGGUCCGUAACAUGAACUUUGACCAGUAGGAGACAGAGAAUGGAAAAAAGCCAGCAGAUAAAUCAUCUGGCCUUCCUCCCCUAUGACAGACUGUUCUGAGCCACAGUGUUUCACAUGUCUUCCUGGAGAUGUCCCACAUGACUUGAGCAACCAGCUGGAGCUCUGGAGAAACUGUGGCCAUCCUGGUAACAUAUGACCUUGUAUUUGCUUUCUCUCCUUCCUGCUUUAUUUCCCUAUGUCCCUUACUUUGGUUGUUGGGAUUGCACCUCCCAAUAAAGCAUUAGCAUGUCCGCUCUGCUUGGGGCUCUGUUUCCUGGGUUAAGACUCUGACUCUUGAAUGCUGAGGCAUUGUAUUGAGAAGGAGUUCAGGCUGGACUCACACCUGGUGAACAAGAGUGCUGUGGUGCGUGAGUGAGUUCUUCCACAGGUAUAAGAAAAGAUACUUAGUACCUGCCACCCCUGAACUAUCCUUUUACGGCAAAUGUUUGCUUAAAGUCAGCAGUCCCCUAAACAUACUUGAGAUCACAGAUGAAGCAAAAUCAGACUAUCUCCCAACAUAGAAAAGCACAAUAGGAAAGAAAUAUUUGGUGGUGAGAAGAUUAUAGCUAUAAGCAAAUUAGGCAAUCCAUCUGUGAGACCCAGCAUGCAGUAUGGUAGAAGUUGAAAAUAAAAACAUGGAUAAAAUUGCUUAAUGGAUUAUAAUAAUAUGCAUGACUGUGUGCCAGGCAGUGUACUAAGACUUUCUUGUUUCAUCCCAUUUGCUUAUUAUAACAGUACUAUAAGACAUGCACUCUUACAAACCCUUAUUUUACAGAGGAAGAAACAGGCCCAGAGAAGUUGGGUAACUCAUCAAAGGUCACAGAGCUAAGAGUGGCAGAGUCAGGCCUGGAGCCCAGGAAGUCUGGUUUCGAAUUUCAUGCUUCUAACCUGAGCACUGUACUGCUUGGUGGAGUUCUCUGCUAGUCCUACCUUUCAGGCAGAGGUGAGCAUUGCUGAGAUUACAUGCCUGUUCCUGGGGGCUAAUACCAGGAGGGAGAUUAGACUGUUCUGUCUAAUCUGUAGUUUGGCUCUUCCAUGAGUCUUGGGAUCAGAACCCUGAAUCAGAGAGAGAUGGACACUGGCCUAGGCAGAUGUGAUGGUCUGAAUGUGUUUCCCACAAAGCAUGUAUUAGAAAUGUAAUCCCCAACUCAACAGUGUCAGGAGGUGGGGCUUAAUGGGAGGUGUCUAGGUUAUGGGGGCUCCACACUCUUGAAUGGAUUAAUGUCCAUUAUAAAAGGACCUGAGGCUGUGAGUUCCAUCUCUUGCUUUUUCUCCGUCUUUCGCCCUCUUGCCUUCUGCCACAGGUGAUGCAGCAAGAAAGCUGCCACCAGAUGCAGCCCCUUGAUCUCGGACUGCCCAGCCUCUAGAACUGUGAGCCAAUUAAAUUUUUCCUUUGUAAAUUACCUAGUCUCUGGUAUCCUGUUAUAGCAGCAUAAACAGGCUAAGAUAGUAAGACAGUAGGGAAACAAGCUCCAGAUGUACUUGAAGUCUCUUGUUCUUAUUUUAGGAGUUGAAGAGCAAUUCCCUCCAGUUUCCAUUAGAAAUGCUUCUUCUUCCAUAUCAAAUAUUGUGAGAUAGCCUGAAACACCUUUCAACACUUUACUACCCUUCUCCAAAAUUCAACAGAUAUGAUUUCCACGGACUUUACUCACAGGGGCUUCAGUAGAAGAGGAAGAGGCUUGGGUUUAAUUGAAGGUGGCCUGAGACAUCUGUGAGGAACAGCCCUUUUAGAGACAUAUCCCCUACAAAUAAAGCAUCAGAAUUAUUAUCCUAAUACAUGAACAUCCAUGGUUCCUUCAGCACCAUCGUAAUGCAGAGACCAUGGGGAGAUGCAGGGAGAGGGCUCUGCACAGCAUGGCCAACUUGCCGGGUUGAAAACAGACAACCUCCAUGGAGCAGGGACUUCAAUUAGUUAAUUCCCCAUCCCCACUGUCACUUACUAACAUGGGAUUCUGAUUAAAAAUUAGAUUCUCUGCAAGAGGCUUAACUUAUAAUUUAAGAACUUUUGCUGUAUAACCAUUGCAAAAACAAUUACAUAAAGAUUAAUUAGCAAAUUCCCAAAACAGUAGUAAACGGCAAAGUAGUUUAAUUAAAACCAUUAUCUCCAAAAUCUGAACGUUAAUAACAGUUGUAGCUCAGGGAGAAAUAAGAGGCACACUGGCACAGAGUGGGGUAAAGGGAGGGUGUCCUUCGACACCAGCAUUCAGUCAGCCCAAGUCUCCACGGCUGCUGUCCUGUUAAUUACACUCCAGAACUCUGUGGCCACCGCGUCUUGAGAGGCCCUGGGCUCCUCCUAUGAGCCUCUGCAGCUGUAGCCUUGACGAACUUGUCAUUGCUGGCCUGCCUCCAACAAGAGGCCUUUAGCCCUCAGAAGAGAGGGAGGCAGCAGGGGGCACGAACAAGACUUUUAAGUGGGGAAUUCAUAAAAUUUGGAAUUGUCAGAAAACAUCUGUAACCAUGACUCUUGUCCUUCAGAAGACACUGAUAAAUUUAACCCAACCCAGACCCCUUAACACAAACUCUGAAGUAAAAGAUUGGCAAAGGAAGCCCAUGAGAAUGAAAUGUAACAAUAGCAACUAUGUAGUUAGCACACACACCAUAUGAUCUCACACAUUCACAAGAUCCUCAUGAAGCCACAUGGCCUUCAUUCUGUUAUUAUUUACUUAUUUAUUUAUGAGACAGGGUCCCACUCUGUUGCCCCAGUUGGAGUCAGUGGCACAAGGCAGUGUGCAGUGCUCAGUGCAGCCUCUAACUCCUGGCUCAAGUGAUCCUCCUACCCCAGAGUCCUGAGGGGCUGGGACUACAAGCACAUGCCACUAAGCUCAGCUAAUUUUUUUUCUUUUUUAAUUUUUUGUAGAGAUAGGGUCUGACUACAUUGCCCAGGCUGGUCUCAAACUCCUAGCCUCAAAUGAUCUUCCUGCCUCAGCCUCUCAAAGUGCUGGGAUUACAUGCGUGAGCCACUGCAUGCUGCCAUAUUAUUUUUAUUCUUAAGCUAAAGUCACUCACUUAGCCUCGUGCAUGGGGACCCUUCUCUUUUUAACUCUAAAGCCCAUUUGUUUACCUGGAUACCACACAGAUGCCCUUUGUGGUGCAACAUUUAGCCCAUUGAAGGCUAAUUAUGUGAGUCUCACAAUUGUGUGAGUCUGUCAUGAAGUAUAGCCUAGACUUGACAAUGAUUGAUUUCUCCAAAGAACCCCUUCAGCAGGGAGAUCCCAAAUCAGAGAGCCCUUGCCCUUACCCAGGACAGCCAAUGUCUCUGCAGCUCCACACGGAGCACCAGCUACCGUGGAGGGGUUGACCUGGGCCUGGAGUCCAGGACAGGCUGAGGAAUGCCCUUCCCCCAGCCCUCUCCCUGAGUGUCAGUCCCUGAGUUAGACACUGUCACAGGAGAGGGCUUGGAAGCCACCUUCUGACUCACCACACCCAUCCCAGCCAUGCCCCCUCACCCUGGCAAGCACCCAGGGGCUGUAUGUUGAUUUGUCUCUCCCCUAAUACAAGGCCCUGACCUCCACCAGCAGAGCCAGACUGUCUGCCUGCAAGCCUGGCUUUUUAUUCUGCUGCACUACAGAAAUUAUGCAAAUCACAGCUAUUAGUAUAACAGCUUUUGCAGAAUUCAGAAGAAAAAGGCAAAAAAAAAAAAAAAAACCACACAAUCACAAAAUCCCUAUGUUUGGUUAAAAGACCAUGAAUUUCCCCAUUGUCCUCACUCACUCUCUUGUCAAUAUGAGAUGUAUACAUCUGAAGCCUGCUUUUCAGUCUUAUGAACAUCUAUAAAAGAGACAUCAGUCAGCAGAAACCUCUGGUACUGCGACAUGAAAGAGAAUGAGGGAAAAACCCAACUCUAGCCAGGAUGGAGAAGAGAGGAAAGGCAAGAUGUGGGAGGCAGCCCCAGAAGGCCCAGGCGGGGUCUCUAGAGGAACCUAAGAAGACUCUGGUGUGGGACAAAGCUCCAAUGUGCUCUGAGCACUCUCGCUGUCCUUCCAGAGGGCCUCGUUCCCCUUCUCAUUCAUCUCACUCACCACAC